GCUGCGAUGGCCGAGUGGUUAAGGCGUUGGACUCGAAAUCCAAUGGGAUAUUCCCGCCCAGGUUCGAUUCAUGUUCGCAGCG
rnacentral:tRNA from 1 species